AACGAACGCUGGCGGCAUGCCUAACACAUGCAAGUCGAACGAGACCUUCGGGUCUAGUGGCGCACGGGUGCGUAACGCGUGGGAACCUGCACUUAGGUUCGGAAUAACUCUCCGAAAGGGGUGCUAAUACCGGAUAAUGUCUUCGGCCCAAAGAUUUAUCGCCUUUGGAUGGGCCCGCGUUGGAUUAGCUAGUUGGUAGGGUAAAAGCCUACCAAGGCGACGAUCCAUAGCUGGUCUGAGAGGAUGAUCAGCCACACUGGGACUGAGACACGGCCCAGACUCCUACGGGAGGCAGCAGUGGGUAAUAGUGGACAAUGGGCGAAAGCCUGAUCCAGCAAUGCCGCGUGAGUGAUGAAGGCCUUAGAGUUGUAAAGCUCUUUUACCCGGGAUGAUAAUGACAGUACCGGGAGAAUAAGCUCCGGCUAACUCCGUG
rnacentral:rRNA from 1 species